rnacentral:rRNA from 1 species
CCUACGGGUGGCAGCAGUGAGGAAUAUUGGUCAAUGGACGAGAGUCUGAACCAGCCAAGUAGCGUGAAGGAUGACUGCCCUACGGGUUGUAAACUUCUUUUAUAUGGGAAUAAAAUGUUCCACGUGUGGGAUUUUGUAUGUACCAUAUGAAUAAGGAUCGGCUAACUCCGUGCCAGCAGCCGCGGUAAUACGGAGGAUCCGAGCGUUAUCCGGAUUUAUUGGGUUUAAAGGGAGCGUAGGUGGAUUGUUAAGUCAGUUGUGAAAGUUUGCGGCUCAACCGUAAAAUUGCAGUUGAGACUGGCAGUCUUGAGUACAGUAGAGGUGGGCGGAAUUCGUGGUGUAGCGGUGAAAUGCUUAGAUAUCACGAAGAACUCCGAUUGCGAAGGCAGUUCACUAGACUGCAACUGACACUGAGGCUCGAAAGUGUGGGUAUCAAACAGGAUUAGAUACCCCAGUAGUC